rnacentral:rRNA from 1 species
GACGAACGCUGGCGGCGUGCUUAACACAUGCAAGUCGAACGGAAAGGCCCUGCUUUUGUGGGGUGCUCGAGUGGCGAACGGGUGAGUAACACGUGAGUAGCCUGCCCUUGACUUUGGGGUAACUUCAUGAAACUGGGGCUAAUACCGGAUAGGAGCUCCUGCUGCAUGGUGGGGGUUGGAAAGUUUCGGCGGUUGGGGAUGGACUCGAGGCUUAUCAGUUUGUUGGUGGGGUGGUGGCUUACCAAGGCUUUGACGGGUAGCCGGCCUGAGAGGGUGACCGGCCACAUUGGGACUGAGAUACGGCCCAGACUGAUACGGGAGGCAGCAGUGGGGAAUAUUGCACAAUGGGCGGAAGCCUGAUGCAGCAACGCCGCGUGCGGGAUGACGGCCUUCGGGGUGUAAACCGCUUUCGCCUGUGACGAAGCGUGAGUGACGGUAAUGGGUAAAGAAGCAACGGCUAACUACGUG